UAUGGGGUUGCAAACCCCCCUCAUAAAUUGUCUUUUACAUUUUUGGAACAGGGUCUAGUGUAGCCCAGGGGAACUCAGACGUGGCUGAUAUUGAAGAUAAUGUUUUUGCUGCUUUCAGUGAUUCACAAGUACACUGGACACAUUUUGGAAGAGGUGCCUGGUUGUUUUCUCUCUGAUCUUUUCUGAAGAGGAGAAGGAGGAGGAGUAAAUCAUGGGAAGAGGAGAAGUAGGAUUGAGCUAAAGGAAGUGGAGUGAGGAAAAACUGUAGUAGGUGGGUAUUGUAUGAGAAAUCAAUUUUAAUAAGUUAUUGUUGACCAAAAUAAAAUGAGAUAAAAAAUAAUU